GGAGUCUGGACCGUGUCUCAGUUCCAGUGUGGGGGACCUUCCUCUCAGAACCCCUACCGAUCGUCGCCACGGUGGGCCGUUACCCCGCCGUCCAGCUAAUCGGACGCGUCCCCAUCCAUCGCCGAUAAAUCUUUAGUAUGGAAGCCAUGUGAUUCCCAUACAACAUCAGGUAUUAAUUCAUCUUUCGAUGGGCUAUCCCUGAGCGGUGGGUAGGUUGGACACGCGUUACGCACCCGUGCGCCGGUCGCCAUCUGUCAAAGCAAGCUUCGACAAUGCUGCCCCUCGACUUGCAUGUGUUAAGCCUGUAGCUAGCGUUCAUC
rnacentral:rRNA from 1 species